rnacentral:rRNA from 1 species
AGAAGCACCGGCUAACUCCGUGCCAGCAGCCGCGGUAAUACGGAGGGUGCAAGCGUUAAUCGGAAUUACUGGGCGUAAAGCGCGCGUAGGUGGCUUGAUAAGCCGGUUGUGAAAGCCCCGGGCUCAACCUGGGAACGGCAUCCGGAACUGUCAGGCUAGAGUACAGGAGAGGAAGGUAAAAGGGAAAAGGGGGGAAGGCA